rnacentral:rRNA from 1 species
CCCGGGGAAACCCUGAUUACUACCACAUACUCCCUACGGGGGAAAGGGAGCGACCUUCCGAGCUUGCUCUAAUGAAUGAACGUAUGUUUGAUUAGCUGGUGGGGGGGGUAAUGGCCUACGCAAGCAUCCAUCCCUGGUUGGUCUGGAUGAUUGAUCACCCACAUCCUGACUGAGACACCGCACUCCCUCCUACGGGAGGCAUGGGUGAUAAAUAUUGGACAAUGAAAGCAACCCUGAUCCAUGCAUGCCGCGUGUGUGAAGAAGGCUUAUUGGUUGCAAAGCACUUUCGGUGAGAAGGAAAACCUAAUGGCUAAUACCCAUGAGGCUUGACGUUACUCAAUAAAGAAGCACCAACUAACUGCGUGCCACCGCCCGCGGUAAUACGGUGGGUGCAUUCGUUAAUCUUAAUUACUGUAAAUAAAGCGCACGUGGGUGGUUAAGUAAGCGAGAUGUGAAACCCCCGGGCUUAACCUGGGAACGCCAUUUCGACCUGUCUGCCUGGAGUAUGGAGGAGGGUGGUGGAAUUUCCUGUGUAGCGGUGAAAUGGGUAGAUAUAGGAAGGACCACCAGUGGGGAGGGCGCCUACUUGGAUCAAUACUGCCAUUGAGGUGCGAAAGCGUGGGGACCAACCAGGUUUGGAUCCCUUGUUAGUCCACCCGGUAAAGGAUGUCAAUUAGCCGUUGGGGCUCUUGAAUCUUUAGUGGGGCAGCUAACCCAUUAAGUUGCCCCCCUGGGGAGUACGGCGCCAAGGUUAAAAUUCAAAGAAAUUGACGGGGGCCGCCCCAAGCGGUGGAGCAUGUGUUUUAUUUGGAGGCAACGGGAAGACCUUUACCUGCCCUUGACUUCAAUGGAACUUUCUAGAGAUAGAUUGGUCCUUUCGGGACAUCAGUACCAGGUGCUGCAUGGCGGUCUUCAGCUCGUGUCGUGAGAUGUUGGGUUAAUUCCGGUAACGAGCGCAACCCCUACCCUUAGUUGCUACCAGUUCGGGUGAGCACUCUAGGGAGACUGCCGGUGACAAACCGGAGGAAGGUGGGGAUGACGUCAGGUCAUCAUGGCCCUUACGGCCAGGGCUACACACGUGCUACAAUGGUGGGCACAGAGGGUUGCCAACUCGCGAGGGUAAGCUAAUCCCUUAAAACCGAUCGUAGUCCGGAUCGCAGUCUGCAACUCGACUGCGUGAAGUCGGAAUCGCUAGUAAUCGCGAAUCAGA